rnacentral:rRNA from 1 species
UACGUAGGGUCCGAGCGUUGUCCGGAAUUAUUGGGCGUAAAGGGCUCGUAGGCGGUUCGUCACGUCGGGAGUGAAAACUCAGGGCUUAACCCUGAGCCUGCUUCCGAUACGGGCAGACUAGAGGUAUGCAGGGGAGAACGGAAUUCCUGGUGUAGCGGUGAAAUGCGCAGAUAUCAGGAGGAACACCGGUGGCGAAGGCGGUUCUCUGGGCAUUACCUGACGCUGAGGAGCGAAAGUGUGGGGAGCGAACAGG